GUGCCUAUUUUGGCAGUUAUCUAUAGUAAAAUUGGAAUGACGCAGAGAAAACUGGCAGUGCCCCUGAACGAGAGUGACUCACAGACAGAAGUGCCGGCCCUCCGUUUC
rnacentral:snRNA from 1 species